GACGAACGCUGGCGGCGUGCUUAACACAUGCCAGUCGAACGGAAAGGCCCUGCUUUUGUGGGGUGCUCGAGUGGCGAACGGGUGAGUAACACGUGAGUAACCUGCCCUUGACUUUGGGAUAACUUCAGGAAACUGGGGCUAAUACCGGAUAGGAGCUCCUGCUGCAUGGUGGGGGUUGGAAAGUUUCGGCGGUUGGGGAUGGACUCGCGGCUUAUCAGCUUGUUGGUGGGGUAGUGGCUUACCAAGGCUUUGACGGGUAGCCGGCCUGAGAGGGUGACCGGCCACAUUGGGACGGAGAUACGGCCCAGACUCCUACGGGAGGCAGCAGUGGGGAAUAUUGCACAAUGGGCGGAAGCCUGAUGCAGCAACGCCGCGUGCGGGAUGACGGCCUUCGGGUUGUAAACCGCUUUCGCCUGUGACGAAGCGUGAGUGACGGUAAUGGGUAAAGAAGCACCGGCUAACUACGG
rnacentral:rRNA from 1 species